CCUAAGUUCACUCAUCUCGGAGAGACAGAGAACGGGGGAACAAAACGGACCCUCCCCUCCCAUAGACGAACCCUGGCAGCGGCGCCUCACCUCUCCAUCAACUCCGACAAGACCCUUCGAUCCCAUACGCAAAACCUCGCCGCCCAAUUCAUCUACUCCAAAAAAAUCGAACAGACUUCCUUCCCCUUUGAGAACCAAAAACCUUGCUGCUCACUCUCACUCUUUCACUCACACUUCCUCACACACAGAGGUUAAUACUCAGAAUCACUCCUCUCAAAUACACACCAGAAUUUACCUUAGAUUUUCCUUUCCUUUUCUUUUAUAAGCUUAGUUUCUCUUAUAUAAAGAUUUCAGAGGUCUUAUUGGGUGCUAUUCAUCAAAAUUUUGAUCUUUCUCAAGUUAAAUUUUGAGCUAAAUUCAAGGUUGAUUCUGGUUUUGUUCUUGCUACUUCCCUGCUUGCUGCAUUUGUUCUUGCUACUGCUCUUUUUCCAGUUUUCAGAGGCUUAUUUUCUAUUUUGUUUGAUUCUACUGCUAGAUGUGGCAGCAUGGAUGGAUUUGACCACGAGUUGGUCGGAGUCAUCUCUGAAGGAGCUAAUACAACACUUUUAAUUGCAGAAGUACAUAGUGUAUGUGUUUCAUAGUUUUUUCAUACCUUUAACAGCUUCAGGUUUCACUGGUUAGCCAUAGAAGUUCAUAUGAGUUAAAGUGAAGUUCAUUGACCAUCCUUGUUUGAAGAUUACUUGCUGAUGAACGAUUUGUAUAAGAUCAGUUUGAAAUGGUUAUGUAAUAAUUCAUGAAUUCAACUACUGUAAUUAACAGCUAUGGAGUAGGCUAUAAUUGUAACUUAAUCUCCAAUUUAGCUUUACACAUGAUUCUAAAUUUGAACGUAUGAGGUUCUAUGUUUUCUUCUCAAGAUUUUGUCUCAACAGGGGUUUACAUAAAUGGGCCAUACUUGUAACUUGGCCCAACUGGAAGUCAUUUGAACGAGUCUGGACCUCAGGCCGUUGGGCCUGGUAUAUUGAUCCCAAUAAUUUGGCCCAAAUCGUGUAUCUUAUUCAAGCUAGUGUAGCCGUAGUACUAGUGUAUUAGUGUUGUAAAUUUAGAAUGUACUAGUGUUAUAAAUUUGAAUCAAGUUCAAUCAUUUUCCUGGUUGGCUGCCAAUUA